AUGCUUCAGUCUGGGCUGGAAUAGACUGACUCAGCUACAUCAGCAUCCACAGAGCCACGCCGUCAGCCAAAGCCUGUACUGGUUACUCCUUUUUUUUUUCCAAGUACAUCCCUCACAUGUAUCUGAGUUAGUGGACAGUUUGGUGGAAAACCUAACCUUUCAUUUUGUGUCACAGUGUGUGCUGACCUGACUCUGAACUAUGAGUUGCCUUUGGGUGGUCUGAAGAGCUCUCAAACAGCACUUUUCCUCCAUCAUUAUUCAUCACCUGGACAAAGCUUGAACUGACACACAGCCUGAUGGAUUUUCAGCCAG